AAGAGAAAGCGAUGUUGGUGAGGUUCAAUCCGAAGACAGAUUUACACAUGCCCGCUGCCGUAAAUUGAUCUCAGAUUGAGCCGCGCCAAUAUCACUUUCUCAACU
rfam:Prunus persica cultivar Lovell chromosome G7, whole genome shotgun sequence.